ACGAACGCUGGCGGCGUGCCUAAUACAUGCAAGUCGAACGCUUCUUUCCUCCCGAGUGCUUGCACUCAAUUGGAAAGAGGAGUGGCGGACGGGUGAGUAACACGUGGGUAACCUACCCAUCAGAGGGGGAUAACACUUGGAAACAGGUGCUAAUACCGCAUAACAGUUUAUGCCGCAUGGCAUAAGAGUGAAAGGCGCUUUCGGGUGUCGCUGAUGGAUGGACCCGCGGUGCAUUAGCUAGUUGGUGAGGUAACUGCUCACCAAGGCCACGAUGCAUAGCCGACCUGAGAGGGUGAUCGGCCACACUGGGACUGAGACACGGCCCAGACUCCUACGGGAGGCAGCAGUAGGGAAUCUUCGGCAAUGGACGAAAGUCUGACCGAGCAACGCCGCGUGAGUGAAGAAGGUUUUCGGAUCGUAAAACUCUGUUGUUAGAGAAGAACAAGGACGUUAGUAACUGAACGUCCCCUGACGGUAUCUAACCAGAAAGCCACGGCUAACUACGUG
rnacentral:rRNA from 1 species